GCCCGGUUAUUUCAAUGGUAGAAUGUCAGGCUUUUACACCAUUGUCACCUGAAAGUUAUGGGUUCGACCCCCAUAUCGGGCG
rfam:Penicillium marneffei ATCC 18224 scf_1105668340984 genomic scaffold, whole genome shotgun sequence.